ensembl:snRNA Gm22827 U6 spliceosomal RNA
GCGCUCGCUUCGGCAGCGCAUAUACUAAAAUUGGAACAAUACAGAGAGGAUUAGCAUGGCCUCUGCUCAAGGAUGGCACAAAAAUUCACGAGGCACUCCAUAUUUUUUU